UCCGGUUUGUCACCGGCAGUAUCACUAGAGUGCCCUUGCGUAGCAACUAGUGACAAGGGUUGCGCUCGUUGCGGGACUUAACCCAACAUCUCACGACACGAGCUGACGACAGCCAUGCAGCACCUGUGUUCAGGUUCUCUUGCGAGCACAUCCAAAUCUCUUCGGACUUCCUGACAUGUCAAGGGUAGGUAAGGUUUUUCGCGUUGCAUCGAAUUAAUCCACAUCAUCCACCGCUUGUGCGGGUCCCCGUCAAUUCCUUUGAGUUUUAACCUUGCGGCCGUACUCCCCAGGCGGAUCACUUCACGCGUUAGCUUCGUUACUCAAGAAGUCACCUUCCCGAACAACUAGUGAUCAUCGUUUAGGGCGUGGACUAC
rnacentral:misc_RNA from 1 species